CCCUUAGAUGUUCUGGGCCGCACGCGCGCUACACUGAUGCAUUCAACGAGCCUAGCCUUGACCGAGAGGUCCGGGUAAUCUUUGAAACUGCAUCGUGAUGGGGCUAGAUUAUUGCAAUUAUUAAUCUUCAACGAGGAAUGCCUAGUAAGCGUGAUUCAUCAAAUCGCGUUGAUUACGUCCCUGCCCUUUGUACACACCGCCCGUCGCUCCUACCGAUUGAGUGUGUUGGUGAGGAGUUUGGAUUGGCCUCGGAAGGUGGUUCGCCACCGUCCGUAGCUGAGAAGUUCUCCAAACCGCCCCACUUAGAGGAAGGAGAAGGUGUAACA
rnacentral:rRNA from 1 species